AGUGAACGCUGGCGGUAGACCUAACACAUGCAAGUCGAACGGCAGCACAGUAAGAGCUUGCUCUUACGGGUGGAGAGUGGCGGACGGGUGAGGAAUACAUCGGAAUCUACUUUUUCGUGGGGGAUAACGUAGGGAAACUUACGCUAAUACCGCAUACGACCUACGGGUGAAAGCAGGGGAUCUUCGGACCUUGCGCGAUUGAAUGAGCCGAUGUCGGAUUAGCUAGUUGGCGGGGUAAAGGCCCACCAAGGCGACGAUCCGUAGCUGGUCUGAGAGGAUGAUCAGCCACCCUGGAACUGAGACACGGUCCAGACUCCUACGGGAGGCAGCAGUGGGGAAUAUUGGACAAUGGGCGCAAGCCUGAUCCAGCCAUACCGCGUGGGUGAAGAAGGCCUUCGGGUUGUAAAGCCCUUUUGUUGGGAAAGAAAAGCAGCAGGUUAAUACCCCGCUGUUCUGACGGUACCCAAAGAAUAAGCACCGGCUAACUUCGUG
rnacentral:rRNA from 1 species